rnacentral:lncRNA from 1 species
GGUUUUGUAAUUAACUUUUUAUAUUAUUAUACCAAAAUAUAUACACAUACAAUAAUAUAAUUUUUUUAAGCCCCGGCUCUGGAUAUUAUUUAGAGAAAUAGAUACGUACCUCCGAGAAAGUGAAGUGAUGUAACCAAGUUGCUCCACUGUUCUAAGCUGGUGGAAAGUGGCUUGCUUUGCAAUGAGACUGAAAAGGUGAAGUUUGCUAUUCAUUGCAAAUUCAUCUUGAUGAACCUGAAUAUAAUGAACUAGAGCAGAGUUUUCAUCACUGGGGUUUGAUCCUUCUUGAUGGUAGAAGUAUCUCAUUCCUUUUCCCAGCUCUACAACCCUACUUGUCAGGAACUGUGAUGGAAACAACGGACGAGAAAUAGGUUUUGAGCCGCUAAAAAGAACAUCUUCAAUAUACUUCACCAUUGACUCAGCUUCAUUCUUCUCAACGUUUCCUGAAAAAAUACAUACCAUGAUGUGUAUACAAAAGGAUAAGAGAACCAAAAUAUCAUACAAUAGGAUAAAGAUUGUUACCUGCUAUGUAGCACUCAACAAAGGUUCUUGAUAACAGCAUUGGAACAUAACUAGCCAAGUCUUCAGCUUCUAAAUGAGAAAGAGCAUCUAAUUCCUCUGUCCAAGGCCAAGUGUUAUCUUGUAAAACCAAUGAGCAGUAACUCAAUGCUUGUUGAUAUGGUUGUUGGAACUUGUAGUUUUGGUAUGCCUUGGUCAUCGUUUCCUAUUACAAGAAUAUGGUUAAAAUCAUGCAACGAGGGAAGUGGUUGAUAACUUAGAAAGAGUGACAAGGUCUACUAUCAAGGUUACUUACCUUGACAACAGAAAACCUGUCAGGUUUAACUUCAAAUUUUGCUAUCUUUUGCAUGACAGCUUCAAGCAAGAUCCUCAGUUUAUGAUUAAAGCCAACAAGAUAGAGCUGGAAAUGAGAAACACUUUAGUCAAACAUGAGACUCACUGAGCAAAGUACACAAGGAAGCGUCAGAAUCCUUGUACACAAGCUUACCUCAAAACCAUUGUCUGAAAUACUUAAUCCAUAGUCAAGACCAGCAGUCUGCGCAUAGUAAGCUGAAACAUAUAUAGGAGUAAAGAUGACAUAAAAAAAAUUUAUUACCAUAGAGUUAUCUUGCCUAAUGACUAGAGGUAGUUCAAAGAGAAAUUUAUAUCUAUUACAUCGUACCAUAUUCAUUUAAGUAGUCCACAAGCAACCAAACAAAAGUAUUGGAAAGAACAGCAGCUUCAGGAGAAGUGAAUGCAAGGGGGCAGUUGAAAUCUAUAUUAACGUAUGCCUUUGGUUUGAAGAACUUUGUAUCCGGUUUGUACCACAAUCUUGAGAAUGAUGUCUUUCUCAACAAAACAGGAAAGGUUUCCUGUUCCAGAACUUAGUUAAGCAUCAUGAGAUAAAGUUGCUUUGUAAGACAUUUUUUUAAUUUGUAACUGGAAAAUAUAUACACAUACAAUAAUAUAAUUUUUUUAAGCCCCGGCUCUGGAUAUUAUUUAGAGAAAUAGAUACGUACCUCCGAGAAAGUGAAGUGAUGUAACCAAGUUGCUCCACUGUUCUAAGCUGGUGGAAAGUGGCUUGCUUUGCAAUGAGACUGAAAAGGUGAAGUUUGCUAUUCAUUGCAAAUUCAUCUUGAUGAACCUGAAUAUAAUGAACUAGAGCAGAGUUUUCAUCACUGGGGUUUGAUCCUUCUUGAUGGUAGAAGUAUCUCAUUCCUUUUCCCAGCUCUACAACCCUACUUGUCAGGAACUGUGAUGGAAACAACGGACGAGAAAUAGGUUUUGAGCCGCUAAAAAGAACAUCUUCAAUAUACUUCACCAUUGACUCAGCUUCAUUCUUCUCAACGUUUCCUGAAAAAAUACAUACCAUGAUGUGUAUACAAAAGGAUAAGAGAACCAAAAUAUCAUACAAUAGGAUAAAGAUUGUUACCUGCUAUGUAGCACUCAACAAAGGUUCUUGAUAACAGCAUUGGAACAUAACUAGCCAAGUCUUCAGCUUCUAAAUGAGAAAGAGCAUCUAAUUCCUCUGUCCAAGGCCAAGUGUUAUCUUGUAAAACCAAUGAGCAGUAACUCAAUGCUUGUUGAUAUGGUUGUUGGAACUUGUAGUUU